rnacentral:rRNA from 1 species
UGCUGGAGGUAUCAGAAGUGCGAAUGCUGACAUAAGUAACGAUAAAGCGGGUGAAAAGCCCGCUCGCCGGAAGACCAAGGGUUCCUGUCCAACGUUAAUCGGGGCAGGGUGAGUCGACCCCUAAGGCGAGGCCGAAAGGCGUAGUCGAUGGGAAACGGGUUAAUAUUCCCGUACUUGGUGUUACUGCGAAGGGGGGACGGAGAAGGCUAUGUUGGCCGGGCGACGGUUGUCCCGGUUUAAGCGUGUAGGUGUGUGUUCCAGGUAAAUCCGGUUCACUUUAACACUGAGGCGUGACGACGAGGCACUACGGUGCUGAA